UACCACGACACUAUCAUGUUGAAAACACCGGUUCUCAUCCAAUCACCAAAAUUAAGCAACAUAGGGAUUAAGCAACGUAGGUCCAGGGGUCACCAAAUAUUUUUGAUCAUGGGCC
rnacentral:rRNA from 1 species